CCAGACUCCUACGGGAGGCAGCAGUGAGGAAUAUUGGUCAAUGGGCGCGAGCCUGAACCAGCCAAGUCGCGUGAGGGAUGACGGCCCUACGGGUUGUAAACCUCUUUUGUCGGGGAGCAAAUUCCGUUACGUGUAACGGAGUCGAGAGUACCCGAAGAAAAAGCAUCGGCUAACUCCGUGCCAGCAGCCGCGGUAAUACGUAGGUGGCAAGCGUUAUCCGGAUUUACUGGGUGUAAAGGGCGUGUAGGCGGGAGAGCAAGUCAGACGUGAAAUUCCAGGGCUCAACCCUGGAACUGCGUUUGAAACUGUUCUUCUUGAGUGAUGGAGAGGCAGGCGGAAUUCCGUGUGUAGCGGUGAAAUGCGUAGAUAUACGGAGGAACACCAGUGGCGAAGGCGGCCUGCUGGACAUUAACUGACGCUGAGGCGCGAAAGCGUGGGGAGCAAACAGGAUUAGAUACCCCUGUAAAU
rnacentral:rRNA from 1 species